rnacentral:rRNA from 1 species
AAUGAACGCUGGCGGCAGGCCUAACACAUGCAAGUCGAGCGAGCGGCGGACGGGUGAGUAAUGACUGGGAAUUGCCCAGUCGAGGGGGAUAACAGUUGGAAACGAAUGCUAAUACCGCAUACGAUUGGAUUGACCAGGUGUGAUUAGCUAGUUGGUGAGGUAAUGGCUCACAAAGGCGACGAUCCCUAGCUGGUCUGAGAGGAUGUUCAGCCUCACUGUAACUGAGCCCUGGUCCGUACUCCUAAGGGAGGCAGCAGUGGGGAAUCUUGCACAAUGGGGGAACCCCUGAUGCAGCAGAGCCGCGUGUUUGAAGAAGGCCUUCGGGUUGUAAAGCACUUUCAGCGAGGAGUCGUUACUCGCAGAAGAAGCACCGGCUAACUCCGUGCCAGCAGCCGCGGUAAUAC